UACGUAGGGCGCAAGCGUUAUCCGGAAUCACUGGGCGUAAAGCGCACGUAGGCGGCUUUCUAAGUCAGGGGUGAAAUCCUGGAGCUCAACUCCAGAACUGCCUUUGAUACUGGAGAGCUUGAGUCCGGAAGAGGUGAGUGGAACUCCGAGUGUAGAGGUGAAAUUCGUAGAUAUUCGGAAGAACACCAGUGGCGAAGGCGGCUCACUGGUCCGGUACUGACGCUGAGGUGCGAAAGCGUGGGGAGCAAACAGG
rnacentral:rRNA from 1 species